UAACAAGUCUAAGUUUUCUAGUUGAUUUUUUAUUUUCUGAUUGCCUGAUGUUUUCGGUUUCAACUAUUACAAAAAUAAUAACUUCAUUCUUCCCACGAAUGAUAGUAAUAAGUCUCACAGAAAUUAACCAACAAAAUUAAACAAGUAAAGAGACGUAUUCCUACUGCUAUGCCGAAGGAAAAAAACAUGUCCUACAAUAGCAAGAACCAAAAUUAGAUCCCAACGAAUAAUGAUACAAAAUCGUCAUCUCUUCCAAUUUUAUUACCAUUAUCGAGAAAUAGUUCACUGUAGGCAAAGUGAACAUUCAAGAUAGUUAUACCUUACAUUUAAAAAUAACUAAGAAAAAUGGAUCGAAUAGAUUAAAACAGAAAAAUAUAACUCUUUUCAAAAAAAGGUCAAAAUGCAGAAAAAAAAAGAAGGAAAAUCAGAGAAAGAGGCGAAGCUCAGAUAUGUUGGAAAAGGAAUAUAAUCCAGGACCUUCAUUAAAGGUCUCAUAGAGCUGGGAUUAGAUGAUUGUCAUCACUGCAAUCGCACCCUUUACUAAAACAAAGAAAAAACAAAAAAUUACAAAUAUCUACAACUAUAUCUUUGUAUAUAUAAUUUAAGAAUUAAGAACGAAAGUGCUCAGACUAUUAAGAAUGGAUAGAGAGAUUUUCCUCAUAAAUCAUCAGAUUAACGAGAUUUUCAAUAUUCAUCAUCAUCGCACCUUCUUUUUACUUUUUCAAUGAAAGCUACUUACAUUAUCACAUCACAAUACAUACAGCGUAUGAUGAAUGUAUACAUAUGACGUAUAUGUUCACACAACCAAAACAAGCAACAAAAAGAAUAGCUUAGAUUGAAACUUACAGAGUCUAAUGGCUAAUUCGGCG
rnacentral:lncRNA from 1 species